GUAGCCCACCAGAGAAGAAAGAUGUCCGGAACUUUGCUCCGGACAGCGUGUUCACACAGUGAAGCCUGCCACCAGUUCUGGGGGUCACAGAAGGGCUGAAAGGAGCCACCCCUCACCCACCUCGCCCGUGUUUCUGCGGUGCUCGCUCCCGUAACCCCGUGGCUCUUUCUCCUGCACUCAGGUGGCAAUGUAAACCAAAGUGAUUGGCUUUUCAAGGAGGAACCGAGUUUGCUUUCUGCCUCCCAUGUCCUCCCAUCGCCACCUCGGUCCCAAGGUCCAAUGACUGAAUUCCUUUACUUUUCUUCCUUUUUCUUUUUAAUGUUAAAAAAAUCAACA